GGAGAGAUGGGUGAGUGGCUGAAACCAACAGUUUGCUAAACUGUCGUACUGGGUAACCGGUACCCCGGGUUCGAAUCCCGGUCUCUCCG
rnacentral:tRNA from 3 species